ACGCUCGACACCUACGGGAGGUAGCAGUGGGGAAUAUUGCACAAUGGGGGAAACCCUGAUGCAGCAACGCCGCGUGAAGGAAGACGGUUUUCGGAUUGUAAACUUCUGUUCUUAGUGAAGAUAGUGACGGUAGCUAAGGAGCAAGCCACGGCUAACUACGUGCCUGCAGCCGCGGUAAUCUGAGCGGGCUGGCAAGGC
rnacentral:rRNA from 1 species